UACGGAGGGUGCAAGCGUUAUCCGGAUUCACUGGGUUUAAAGGGUGCGUAGGUGGGUCUGUAAGUCAGUGGUGAAAUCUCCAAGCUUAACUUGGAACUGCCGUGAUACUAUAGACCUUGAAUGCUGUGGAGGUGAGCGGAAUAUGUCAUGUAGCGGUGAAAUGACUUAGAUAUGACAUAGAACACCAAUUGCGAAGGCAGCUCACUACCCAGAUAUUGACACUGAGGCACGAAAGCGUGGGGAUCAAACAGG
rnacentral:rRNA from 1 species